UUACUCCAAGAGCAGAACACAUGAAGUGA
rnacentral:piRNA from 1 species